rnacentral:rRNA from 1 species
AGCGAACGCUGGCGGCAGGCUUAACACAUGCAAGUCGAGCGGGCAUAGCAAUAUGUCAGCGGCAGACGGGUGAGUAACGCGUGGGAACGUACCUUUUGGUUCGGAACAACACAGGGAAACUUGUGCUAAUACCGGAUAAGCCCUUACGGGGAAAGAUUUAUCGCCGAAAGAUCGGCCCGCGUCUGAUUAGCUAGUUGGUGAGGUAAUGGCUCACCAAGGCGACGAUCAGUAGCUGGUCUGAGAGGAUGAUCAGCCACAUUGGGACUGAGACACGGCCCAAACUCCUACGGGAGGCAGCAGUGGGGAAUAUUGGACAAUGGGCGCAAGCCUGAUCCAGCCAUGCCGCGUGAGUGAUGAAGGCCCUAGGGUUGUAAAGCUCUUUUGUGCGGGAAGAUAAUGACGGUACCGCAAGAAUAAGCCCCGGCUAACUUCGUGCCAGCAGCCGCAGUAA